UUAACUGGGUUAGAGAAUCAGCUCCCUGGAUAUCUCAUUCAUUCACAAGGACAAUUCACCAAACCCUGGUGGACCCUUGUCUUCCGUGGAAAAGAAAUGGGACUACCUUGAAGGGACU